CCUACGGGUGACAGCAGUGAGGAAUAUUGGUCAAUGGGCGCGAGACUGAACCAGCCAAGUAGCGUGAAGGAUGAAUGCACAAAGGGUUGUAAACUUCUUUUAUAAAGGAAUAAAGUGAGGCACGCGUGCCUGGUUGAAUGUACGUUAUGAAAAAGGAUCGGCUAACUCCGUGCCAGCAGCCGCGGUAAUACGGAGGAUCCGAGCGUUAUCCGGAUUUAUUGGGUUGAAAGGGAGCGUAGAUGGGUUGGUAAGUCAGUUGUGAAAGUUUGCGGCUCAACCGUCAAAUUGCAAUUGAUACUGGCAGUCUUGCGUACAGUUGAGGUAUGCGGACUUCGUUGUGUAGCGGUGAAAUGCUUAGCUAUC
rnacentral:rRNA from 1 species